rnacentral:tRNA from 1 species
GGACAAUUAGCUCAGUUGGUUAGAGCGCUGCGUUCACAUCGCAGAGGUCGCUGGUUCGAGCCCAGCAUUGUCCACCA